rnacentral:rRNA from 1 species
GAACGCUAGCGACAGGCUUAACACAUGCAAGUCGAGGGGCAGCGGGGGAGGAAGCUUGCUUUCUCCUGCCGGCGACCGGCGCACGGGUGAGUAACACGUAUGCAACCUGCCCCUGUCAGGGGGACAACCCGCCGAAAGGCGGGCUAAACCCGCGUACAUGCCACCGGGGCAUCCCGGAGGCAGGAAAGGCUUCGGCCGGACAGGGAUGGGCAUGCGGCGCAUUAGGCAGUAGGCGGGGUAACGGCCCACCUAACCGACGAUGCGUAGGGGUUCUGAGAGGAAGGUCCCCCACACUGGUACUGAGACACGGACCAGACUCCUACGGGAGGCAGCAGUGAGGAAUAUUGGUCAAUGGUCGGGAGACUGAACCAGCCAAGCCGCGUGAGGGAGGAAGGUACAGAGUAUCGUAAACCUCUUUUGUCAGGGAACAAAGGCGGGGACGUGUCCCCGGAUGAGUGUACCUGAAGAAAAAGCAUCGGCUAACUCCGUGCCAGCAGCCGCGGUAAUACGGAGGAUGCGAGCGUUAUCCGGAUUUAUUGGGUUUAAAGGGUGCGCAGGCGGUCUGUUAAGUCAGCGGUCAAAGCCCGGGGCUCAACCCCGGCCCGCCGUUGAAACUGGCAGUCUCGAGUUGGAGAGAAGUAUGCGGAAUGCGCGGUGUAGCGGUGAAAUGCAUAGAUAUCGCGCAGAACUCCGAUUGCGAAGGCAGCAUGCCGGCUCCACACUGACGCUGAGGCACGAAAGCGUGGGUAUCGAACAAGAUUAGAUACCCUGGUAGUCCACGCAGUAAACGAGCAUAAAGGCGUCCGGGGGGAUGACCCCUGGGGCGAAGCGAAAGCGAUAAGCAUUCCUCCUGGGGAGUACGCCGGCAGCGGUGAAACUCAAAGGAAUAGACGGGGGCCCGCCCAAGCGGAGGAACAUGUGGUUUAAUUCGAUGAUACGCGAGGAGACCUCACCCGGGCUCAAACGGGGAGUGGCGCAGGCAGAGACGCCUGUUUCUCACGGGACACUCCCCGAGGUGCUGCAUGGUUGUCGUCAGCUCGUGCCGUGAGGUGUCGGCUUAAGUGCCAUAACGAGCGCAACCCCUGUGUGCAGUUGCUAACAGUCAACGCUGAGGACUCUGCACGGACUGCCGGCGCAAGCCGCGAGGAAGGCGGGGAUGACGUCAAAUCAGCACGGCCCUUACGUCCGGGGCGACACACGUGUUACAAUGGGUGGUACAGCGGGAAGCCAGGCGGCGACGCCGAGCGGAACCCGAAAUCCACUCUCAGUUCGGAUCGGAGUCUGCAACCCGACUCCGUGAAGCUGGAAUCGCUAGUAAUCGCGAAUCAGAAUGUCGCGGUGAAUACGAUCGCGGGUCUUGCACACACCGCCCGUCA